rnacentral:rRNA from 1 species
UACAGAGGUCUCAAGCGUUGUUCGGAUUCAUUGGGCGUAAAGGGUGCGUAGGCGGCGCGGUAAGUCGGGUGUGAAAUCUCGGAGCUUAACUCCGAAACUGCAUUCGAUACUGCCGUGCUUGAGGACUGGAGAGGAGACUGGAAUUUACGGUGUAGCGGUGAAAUGCGUAGAUAUCUGGAGGAACACCGGUGGCGAAGGCGGCAUCCUGGACCGAUAUUGACGCUGAGGAGCGAAAGCCAGGGGAGCAAACGGG